GAUGAACGCUGGCGGCGUGCCUAAUACAUGCAAGUCGAGCGAACAGACGAGGAGCUUGCUCCUCUGACGUUAGCGGCGGACGGGUGAGUAACACGUGGAUAACCUACCUAUAAGACUGGGAUAACUUCGGGAAACCGGAGCUAAUACCGGAUAAUAUAUUGAACCGCAUGGUUCAAUAGUGAAAGACGGUUUUGCUGUCACUUAUAGAUGGAUCCGCGCCGCAUUAGCUAGUUGGUAAGGUAACGGCUUACCAAGGCAACGAUGCGUAGCCGACCUGAGAGGGUGUUCGCCCCCCAUGGACUGAGAACCCGGCCCGGGCCCCUGCGGGGGGUAGCGGUUGGAAUUCUGCCCAGAUGGGCGAAAGCCUUCAGGAGCAACCCCGGCUGAGUAAAAAGGGUCUGGGGAUCGAAAAACUCUUUUCUGGGGUAAAAAAAAAUUUUUAAAAAAAGAUUCCUGUCUUGCCGUCACCUAAUAAAAACCCCCCGCCUAACUCCGU
rnacentral:rRNA from 1 species